GUGGGGAAUAUUGGGCAAUGGGCGCAAGCCUGACCCAGCAACGCCGCGUGAGGGAAGAAGGCUUUCGGGUUGUAAACCUCUGUCCUUGGUGACGAAACAAAUGACGGUAGCCAAGGAGGAAGCCCCGGCUAACUACGUGCCAGCAGCCGCGGUAAUACGUAGGGGGCGAGCGUUGUCCGGAAUUACUGGGCGUAAAGGGUGCGUAGGUGGCCUUUUAAGUUGGAUGUGAAAUACCCGUGCUUAACUUGGGGGGUGCAUCCAAAACUGGGGGGCUAGAGUGCAGGAGAGGAAAGCGGAAUUCCUAGUGUAGCGGUGAAAUGCGUAGAUAUUAUGAGGAACACCAGUGGCGAAGGCGGCUUUCUGGACUGUAACUGACACUGAGGCACGAAAGCGUGGGGAGCAAACAGGAUUAGAAACCCUAGUAGUCC
rnacentral:rRNA from 1 species